rnacentral:lncRNA from 1 species
GAUUAAACCAUGAGGAGGCACAAUAAGAAAGCAUAAAGAGUGGUAGAAAGAGCUCCCAGUGCUGUGUUUUCUACACAAUUGAUGAAUAAACACUUGGUUUUGAAUUUCGUGAGGCCAGGGACUUUGUCUAAAAACACAUUCAGUGAUUAUAUAAGGAAGACGUCUGGUGAACACCCGUGGGAUCUAAAGAACAAGUAAGAUUUAAGCAUGCUAUGGGUUUUUUGGUCUGUUUUUUAAGUUUUCUUUGUUUUAUAGUAUUUCUUUACCACUAUAAAUUGUCACUUCUUAGAUAAGCAUUAGCACUUUUAUUAUGGAGCAUGAGGAAUAAAAAUGAACUUUUAACACUUUUGGAUUAUUUGGAGGCUUUAAAAACCUACACGAAUUUUCUACAUAUGGUAGGCAGACAGAAAGACAUUAUAGAUGGAGUGAAAUUUCAAGCCCAAAGUAAUGGGCAUGUUUUUAUGCUGAGUGAGAACAAAUCUUUAGAAUGAAUUCUUAUAAGGUAAUUUUUAAAUGAAGUGUCUAUUGCUAUAGCUGUUUUACUCUUACCUCUUGCCUAACAGAACAGGUCAGAGAGUAGUUCCUUUGAAGUCCCAAACCUACUUACUACCUGCAGAACCAUGACUUGGUACCAGAGAAUUUGGGCAAUAUGGGGUACAUUCCCCAAAUUAGAAUGUAAUAUAUGUUGGGAUGAUAAGGAGAGGGGCUUUAGUUAAUAGAGUAGAAAAGAGAAUAGGUGAGAUAAUGGUCAAAAGUAAAGCAAAUGAAGAGGGGAAAGUUGAAAAUAAUCAUAGGGAAUAAAGCAGAUCACCAUAAAAAUAAAAAGAGUAAACAAAUAGAUUACAUAAUAUUUUAUUAUCAACUAUUGAAAGAAAGGAUACAGAAAUAGGACAAAAUAAGAAUAGAGUGGAAACUGGAAACUAAAGAGAGGUAGAGACAGGAUAUGUAACAGGUUAUACUUGAUUAAAAUAGAGAAAUAAAAGAGGAAGUGUUCUAAGAUAAAGUUCCAUUUUUAAUUUUUCCUACUUAUUUGACAAUUUACUUAGUUGAAACUAGAUCUUGAGUGGUUUAAAAAAUAGAAAUGUUGAAUAUUUUUAUCUGUUUCAUUGAAGAAGGAAAAAUUGUAGUCAUCGUAUAAUUAUUUGAUGUUUUGGAGAUUUUUGCUUUAUGCGCAAUUCAAGCCAUGUUCAAAUGAAGAAAAUGUUUCUUGAUUUGUAUCAAGUUUUCCUUGAGUGUUCUAACCCUGCUCUACUCUUGAAAUCACUUGACUUUGAAAAAAGGGAAAAUCAUGCAUUUAGAGAGGUUAAAUAAGUCAUUAUAAUGUCUUUCUCAUCUACAGAAAGCAUGUGUUAACCAAUAUAAAUUUACAGUCAGAACAGUUCAAAUUGCUCCUGCAUUCAGGAAGGCAAAGCCCUAAAUUGAGCCUGUUGUUAUUGUGUAAUUGCUAUUUGCAGGCAAAAGAAAGGUUAACACUGGGACUUCCCUUCAUGGCUCAGGGAAAAGGCCGCAGGUUCCAUCCCUGGCCUUACUAAGUGGGUUAAGGAUCCUGCAUUGCUGUAAGCUGUGUUGUAGGUCGCAAACAUGGCUCGGAUCCCAUGUUGCUAUGGCUAUGGUGUAGACCAGAGGCUACAGCUCCAACUCAACCCCUAGCCUGGGAACCUCCAUAUGCCACAGGUGUGGCCCUAAAAAAAAAAAGAGAAAACAAAACAAACAAACAAACAAAUGCUGAUGCCGAUCUCAAUUGUAAUGUACAGAUUUACAAAGGAAUUUUAUAGGAGUUCCUGCCCUGGAGCAGCGGAAACGAAUCUGACUAGGAACCCUGAGGUUGCGGGUUCAAUCCCUGGCCUUGCUCAUUGGGUUAAGGAUCUGGUAUUGCCGUGAGCAGUGGUGUGUCUAUGUCUCAGACGAGGCUCAGAUCCUGCAUUGCUGUGGCUGUGAUGUAGGCCAGUGGCUGUAGCUCUGAUUGGAUCUCCACAUGCCUCUGGUGAGGCCCUAAAAAAAGACAAAGAUAAAAAUAAAUAAAUAAAUUUUAAAAAAGAAAGGAAUCUUGUAGAAGUGACAUUUUUUUUAUUCCAAAGCGUAAAUCAUAAAGAUUCAGCCAGGUAACUUCCCUUUUAAAGGUAAAUAAGUGAAAAUUCAUUUUUAGCAGCAUUUUCACCUUUUAAUUGGGAAGUGUGGCUUUAAGUUUAUGGUUAUUGCUAUUUAUUGCUUUUGGGGGGCUAUUAUGAGUUAAUUGUUUAUCAUCACAAUAAAAGGUCUCUUUUUUUCCUAAAAGUUGAAAUAUCUUGGGGAAAAGAUUUUGGUUACUUAUGGUCUAUUAUGUAUAAAGCUAUCAUUAAUAGUCAAGCAUCCAUUAUUUUUCCUAACUAUAGAGCUGAGUUUAAUGACCAUGGUGUAGAAAGAGCCUGUUGACGCUGACGCCAAAAUACUAGGUAAAAUCCCAACAUCUUCACUGAGAGCCACUUAGUCACUCUGGGCUUCCAUGAUUUCAUGUUCAAAACAAAGAUAACACUGCCUACUUAGAGGAUGGCUCUGGCAUUUGAACAGCCUAUCAACCUGAAAUUAUUUGGGUCUUGCCCAAUAUUACUAGAUGACAUAAAUGGUGACGCUUGGCUUGGUCAGGAACCUCGAUCACUAGAGGUUCCUAUCCAAAAUCCCACAAGUCAAACAAAUGAUUUCGUAGAGAUUAAAUUGCAGGUGUUUGUACUUGUCAUUCAACUUUAUCAUUAAAAAAGUUAUUUGGGGGGGUAAAUCAACCUUUAUUUAAAAAUCUUUAUUCAUCAUCUUCAUGGCUCUGUAUCUAGAGUGCAAGAAAAUCCUUCAGCAUCAUCAAAAUCUUUACCUGCUUUCCAGUGCUUUGCAUUCCUCAGUGGAAAAAAAUCUAGGAUUCUCUCCCCUAUUUCAGUAGUGCUACGCUAGGUGGUUUUACAAACAUCUCCUCACAUAAUCUUCACAUCUGUCAGGUAAAGUAGAUAUGAAUGUCUGCUUUUCUAGGCAGUUCUCAGAAAUGCCAAAUAUUGUGACCAAGGUCACCCAGCUAGAAAAGGGAAGGAACUGGAAUUGGGACUCAGAACUCUUCCCACAGCUUAUGUUUCUUACAAAACACCUUCCUAUUUUCUUUAGUGAAAUGCAAUAUUUUCAAUACAAAUAUUUGUAGAAGUAUUAUCACAGUAUAAGUGGUAAGACAGCCUCACUGACUCAGGAUUGUACCUGGGACAAGCUCUAUGGGGAGGCAUUAGUAAGCAUUAAAAAAAUUCUUCCUACUCAGCUAAUCGACAGCAGGGUCAACCUCAAGUCCUCCUGCAGGUGUCUUUAAGAUUCAAUUCAUCUACAUUUCUCUUUUAGCAGAGAGAAGUCCUAGGUCCUCUAUUUCUUUCUAAUUAUAGGCAUUUCUCUUCCUAAUAAAACCCCCAAAAUUCUCUUUUCUGCCCCUGCUUUUCUGCUGCUGGUUUGAAUUCUGUGGUUCAUCUGGGUUGGUCCAAGUCUACUUGCUAAAAACAGGGAAGAGAAUAAUUAUAUCCAAAUGCACAUUGAACAGUCCCUUUGAGACACUGGCCUUUUGAAUUUCUUUAAGAAAAAAAAAACUUAGAAAAAAUAAAAUUGAAGCUGCUGCAUGAGUAGUUAAUUUUAAAAAUAGUUGUUUCUAAUUAAUUCAUUAAAAUAAACCUAUUUUAUGCUCUUGUUAGACGUCACCCUAGACUAUAAAACAAAAUCAGCAAAUGAUUCUCUUUUACUCCUUCACACACACACACACACACACACACACACACACACCCUCACAUGCACAGAUAUACUUACACACAUGUAUGCACAUACCAUAAAAUGAUUUUCCCCUUUUCAAUGAAAUAUUCUAUAUUCUAUAUUUUUUAGACUACAUAAUAUUGAAAAAGAGAUUUUUGGAGAAAAGUUGAAAUGAUUGAGCCUUAAAUGUGUUAUGGCAUUUUUAAACUUUGAAUAAUCUCAGCCUAUCUAAACACAGCAUUUUAAGUAGUCAUCAUCUUGUUUCAUAAAUGAGGGGUUGACUAUGUUUAGAAAUAUGCUUUCAUUGUGCUGAUACCACAGAUCAGAUUUCUCUUUCCUCAGAUUGUCUGCAGUGUAAACAUGCUGCUUGAUAAAGAUGACAGUGAAGUUAACUUGAUUGCUAGGCAACUGUAUUGUUAUUGCCAUAGAUAAACACACUUAUUUCCUCUUUGGUGUUUUCCUGGUAAGGAAUUUCUAGACAAGCCUAAUGCUUUCUUUCGGAUUGAUUAUUCAUUUUAAGUAAUUGCGUAGGUAUCCUUUAUUCUUUGGGACUUAAUGCAUGGAAGAGUUCAGAAGGAAAUGUGAGCUCUCAGAUGGUGUUUUUCAAAGCAUGAUUAGAAACAGGGAUGUUAUCAAUGAGAAACAUUUGGAGUCUUGUACACGAGAAGGAAUAUAAAUUGUACAACAUAAGCAUGUUUCCAUCCAGACUGUGAAAACUAAGUGUUAUCUUGGAAUCAUGGGGGUGUUUUAUUUACAAUGUCAACUUCAUUCAUGAAACUCAAAUAAAUGCUUCCAGAAUGAAAUGGAGUAAUAGCAGUGGACCAAAGGGUUGUUUAUUUUACAUGGCUACCUCUGUACUUGCAAGCAGAGUUAUUGUCCCCCUGUGAGUCUUACAUAGAGCUUAUAAUUUACUUGCUAUAGAUAAAUGUUCAUUAUCUUCAACAACUACUGAUUAUAAGGAUCAGAAGGCAUCAAGAGGGCAAAAGUGCAGCAGCCAAGAGGAGUUCAAGGGCAAGGCCAGGGUGAUGCUGCUUAAACUACAAGCUGCCCCUAACUAGGAUCCAUGUUAUCCAGGAACCCUGGCUUGCCCAUUGACACUUUUGUACCACUAGAGUAACUUCAGUGCCCUUUUGUGAAAGGAAGGAAGCUUUGAAUUAGUGGGACCAGAGUAAUAAAACUAAUGCUGACAACGACAUCUUCAGCACCACUAUGAAAGAACACAGUAGAUGCCUCCCAGUGCCUCUUACACCCAGGUAUUCCCUGAAUUUUGAUAUCAGUUUGGCUGCCUAGCUCAGGGCAGAGUCGGUCCUGUCUGCAGUGCCCAUAUAUUUGUAACCCUGCAAGAGUGCCCCAAAAGAAAAAAAAAAA